AAGAACGUAGCUUAAUUGGAAAGGGCGCAGUCGGGUGGUGGACUGAGGGUGUAGGUUCGAGUCCUACCGUUCUUA
rnacentral:tRNA from 1 species